UACGUAGGGUGCAAGCGUUGUCCGGAAUUAUUGGGCGUAAAGAGCUCGUAGGCGGUUUGUCGCGUCUGCUGUGAAAACCCGAGGCUCAACCUCGGGCCUGCAGUGGGUACGGGCAAACUAGAGUGUGGUAGGGGAGAUUGGAACUCCUGGUGUAGCGGUGGAAUGCGCAGAUAUCAGGAAGAACACCAAUGGCGAAGGCAGAUCUCUGGGCCAUUACUGACGCUGAGGAGCGAAAGCGUGGGGAGCGAACAGGAUUAGAUACCCUGGUAGUCCACGCCGUAAACGUUGGGAACUAGAUGUAGGGGCCUAUCUACGGCUUCUGUGUCGCAGCUAACGCAUUAAGUUCCCCGCCUGGGGAGUACGGCCGCAAGGCUAAAACUCAAAGGAAUUGACGGGGGCCCGCACAAGCGGCGGAGCAUGCGGAUUAAUUCGAUGCAACGCGAAGAACCUUACCAAGGCUUGACAUAUACCGGAAAAGCGUAGAAAUACGCUCCCCGCAAGGUCGGUAUACAGGUGGUGCAUGGUUGUCGUCAGCUCGUGUCGUGAGAUGUUGGGUUAAGUCCCGCAACGAGCGCAACCCUCGUUCUAUGUUGCCAGCACGUAAUGGUGGGAACUCAUGGAAGACUGCCGGGGUCAACUCGGAGGAAGGUGGGGAUGACGUCAAAUCAUCAUGCCCCUUAUGUCUUGGGCUUCACGCAUGCUACAAUGGCCGGUACAGAGGGCUGCAAUACCGUAAGGUGGAGCGAAUCCCAAAAAGCCGGUCUCAGUUCGGAUUGAGGUCUGCAACUCGACCUCAUGAAGUCGGAGUCGCUAGUAAUCGCAGAUCAGCAACGCUGCGGUGAAUACGUUCCCGGGCCU
rnacentral:rRNA from 1 species